UACGUAGGUGGCGAGCGUUGUCCGGAUUUACUGGGCGUAAAGAGCGCGCAGGCGGUCGUUCAAGUCGCGUGUGAAAGCCCCCGGCUCAACUGGGGAGGGUCACGCGAUACUGUUCGACUCGAAGGCAGGAGAGGGAAGUGGAAUUCCCGGUGUAGUGGUGAAAUGCGUAGAUAUCGGGAGGAACACCAGUGGCGAAGGCGACCUCCUGGCCUGUUCUUGACGCUGAGGCGCGAAAGCUAGGGUAGCAAACGGG
rnacentral:rRNA from 1 species